GUGUCUAUUGAAAGGAGAGACGGUUAGCACUCCCCUUGACAAGGAUGGAACACAUAAAUACUGGUUAAGGCACAACUUGACCACAUUUUUUUU
rnacentral:ncRNA from 1 species